UUCGCAAUGCCCGAAAGGGUGACGAAGCGACGCCGCGUGCGGGAGGAAGGCCUUCGGGUUGUAAACCGCUGUCGGGAGUUAAGAAAUGCAAGGGUGUUAACAGCGUCCUUGCUUGACUAAGGCUCCGGAGGAAGCCACGGCUAACUCUGUGCCAGUAGCCGCGGUAAUACAGAGGCGGCAAGCGUUGUUCGGAAUUAUUGGGCGUAAAGAGCACGUAGGCGGCUGUGUAAGUCGGUUGUGAAAGCCUUCCGCUCAACGGGAGAACGGCAUCCGAUACUGCAUGGCUUGAGUGCGGGAGGGGAGAGUGGAACUUCUGGUGGAGCGGUGAAAUGCGUAGAUAUCAGAAGGAACACCGGCGGCGAAGGCGACUCUCUGGCCCGUAACUGACGCUGAGUGUGCGAAAGCUAGGGGAGCAAACGGGAUUAGAUACCCCGGUAGUCCUAGCCGUAAACGAUGGGCACUAAGUAGAGGGGUUUUA
rnacentral:rRNA from 1 species